ACUCCUACGGAAGGCAGCAGUGGGGAAUCUUGCGCAAUGGACGAAAGUCUGACGCAGCGACGCCGCGUGGGUGACGAAGGCCUUCGGGUUGUAAAGCCCCUGUGGGGAGAGACGAACCGGCAUCUGGCUAACAUCCAGGUGCUCUGACGGUAUCUCCUUAGCAAGCAUCGGCUAACUCUGUGCCAGCAGCCGCGGUAAU
rnacentral:rRNA from 1 species